rnacentral:ncRNA from 1 species
UUGAUCAUCUGCGGCGAUGGUUCCCGGCUGGCAAAGCCUUGGCCGGGUGAAAAGGGAACACGGUACGGUGUAGCCAACAGGCGCCAAGUCCGUGACUGCCCCCGCAACUGUAGGCGGCGAGCGACCCCGGGUGAUCCACUGUUCCAGCGAGGAACGGGAAGGACCGGGCAAGCGGCGACCCGCAAGUCAGGAGACCUGCCAUCACAGCAGACCUCAA